rnacentral:misc_RNA from 1 species
GUUUUGCCUGCUCCAUCCUGCGGCGUCGUCUCCAUUUUCUCCGUUUCCAUUGAAAAAAUUUGUUCCAACCCGAUUCUCUCUCUGGGCAGCGACUUCUCCAUGGAUUCCGAGACUUCGACACAGAAACCAGCGAUCGCUCCAGCACCAACCCCUGAAACCCUAGCGCCACCAUCCCCAACCAAAGACAGAGACUUCCUCAACCACCUGGAAGCUUACCUAGCUAAGCGAGAUGGCGUGGACAAGCUACUUAAGAUCUCGCGUUACGCCUCCAAGAUCGUUUUGGCCUCCUCAGCUCUUCCCGAAUCUCUAAUUUUAACUCAGCGGUUAAAGAGCUUCGAGUCUAGCGUAGGACUGAGUCGCAAAGCCUUUCGACUCGGCAAAUUUGUUCAGGACCUUAACGCUCUUAGAAACUCUCAUUUCCAUUCGAAACAAGAAAUUUUCCUCGCCAUUAUUGCUUAUGGAGGCGAAGGCUUGUAUUAUUUUGUCGAACAAUUCGUUUGGCUGGCUAAAGCAGGCUUGAUCGAUAGCAAAAACUCAAAAAAUUUGGGAAAAAUCAGUGCCUGGUUUGAGUUUAUAGGAUACAUAGGUGGUAUUUCUCUCAAAAUUAGGGAUUUGAAGAAAUUAAUUGAAGAUGAGGUCUAUUUGGAAUCGACCAUUGAGGUUGCUGUUGUGAGAGGAGAUGGGUAUCAAGUGGAAGAAGAGAAGAUGAAGAAGCUGAGAGAGAAGAAGUUGAUGAAGAAACUUUCGAUUAUACAGGACUUCGCUGAUGGGUCAAUGGCGUUAGCAGAUAUUCGAGACGGGAAGGGGCGGCUCUCGGCGCCGUUCUUGGUGUCAUUAGCAGGACUUGUAUCUGCCUUGAUUAGUACUCACAAGAACUGGGUCUCUUGCUGAGUUUGGCAUCGUUUCAAAAAGUAUGAUUGUUGAGGAAUUAGGGUUCUUUUACAAAUAUAUAAAUUGUGAAUUUAAGGUUUAUUAUUGGCAGAAAAAUAUUGGAAAGCAAUUAUGUUAUUUUAUAGCCGCAAAACUGAGACAAAAGAAAGGCUGUGAAAACUCUUUUGCUGCUGGGGUAGGACGCAAAAUACAGCCUCCUCUGAAGCCCAGGGACUCUCUUGUGUCUGAGCUUCGCUCUUUUUCAUAAUAAUAAAAUCAUACACUGACGGAGGAUCAAUAUGAAUUCAUGUUUAAUAUUUAUGUGACAUGUCUGAAUAGGGACGUAAUAGUUUUAGGAUUUUUUUCCCUCAAGGAAUCCAUAGUUCAAGUGAUAUUUGUAUAAGCCAUUAGCAAAUCUUUAUUGAAGAUAAAGUUAUGGCUCAUUGGAACUUGCUUGGAUCCUUGAUGCCUGUCCUAUAUCAUUGUUCUGUUCUGUCAUCCUUACAUUUAAUAGAUUUUGAGCUGAA